GCUUCCAUAGCUCAGUAGGUAGAGCGCAUCCAUGGUAAGGAUGAGGUCACCAGUUCGAUCCUGGUUGGAAGCUCCA
rnacentral:tRNA from 3 species